rnacentral:rRNA from 1 species
UAGGGAAUCUUCCACAAUGGACGCAAGUCUGAUGGAGCAACGCCGCGUGAGUGAAGAAGGUUUUCGGAUCGUAAAGCUCUGUUGUUGGUGAAGAAGGAUAGAGGCAGUAACUGGUCUUUAUUUGACGGUAAUGAACCAGAAAGUCACGGCUAACUACGUGCCAGCAGCCGCGGUAAUACGUAGGGGGCAAGCGUUGACCGGAUUUAUUGGGCGUAAAGCGAGCGCAGGCGGAAUGAUAAGUCUGAUGUGAAAGCCCACGGCUCAACCGUGGAACUGCAUCGGAAACUGUCAUUCUUGAGUGCAGAAGAGGAGAGUGGAAUUCCAUGUGUAGCGGUGGAAUGCGUAAAUAUAUGGAAGAGCACCAGUGGCGAAGGCGGCUCUCUGGUCUGCAACUGACGCUGAGGCUCGAAAGCAUGGGUAGCGAACAGG